UACAACAACCAACAAACAGAAUACAGUCAAGUUAGGUAUUCACAGACAACACCAGAUGCUCACAAGUAUACAGUCAAACAAUCACAUAUAAUACCGAAGAUAAGGACAGAGUUACCCUCCUUCUUCGCGACCGGAGAAGAUCGGCCUUCAAACAACAGAAAAACCCUAGGUAUCAAACCCUAGGCGUAACCUUAAAAGCAACUUUACUGGAAAUGUGGUUAGGAACGUCGGAGAAGCACCCAAAACAUCCACUAAGUGAGAAUCAAGCCACCGGAAGGCAGUAAAACCUCAAGUUAAACCACCAGAAUCCCUAGAAGCCGAUAGGUCACCCAAAAUCAACCAACCAAAAAUCAUCAUAAAAUCUUCCAGAAGAAGCACCCAAAACGUCCACUGAGUGAGAAUCGAGCCACCGGAAGGCAGUAAAACCUCAAGUUAAACCACCAGAAACCCUAGAAGCCGAUAGGUCAUCCAAAAUCAACCAACCAAAAACAUCAUAAAAUCUUCCAGAAUGUUUAGGAGAAGAAAAUACACUCGGAUAUCACGAUGAGAGACUCAGAAAAGUCUCCGAUAGGUCGAAAUCUUCAUCAACCGUGAGGCCUCAGAAAUCACCCCCAAAAACCUCGAAACAGACUUCAUCCAAGACCAUGAAGCACAUAGAAACAUGAUCGGAUCAUCGUCGAGGCUCUGAUACCAUGAAAAUAUCGAAGUUAAGCUGAGAAAUCAUGGAGAUUGUAGAGAGAGAAAGUAGAGAGAAGGAGGAGGAUUUGAGAAGUCUCU
rnacentral:lncRNA from 1 species